rnacentral:lncRNA from 13 species
GGGAUUGCUUGGGGCCAAGGCAGCAUCCCCCUGACACAUGGCUUGAGCCCAGAGGGGCACCCAGGGACUGGACUGUCCCACCAUUGGGCUGGGGAGGGAGCUGGGAGCAGGUUGGGGGCUGCCCCAUGUAGCUGGGACAGCCUUUCCUCCUCCUUGGUAGGUGACUCAGGCCACAUCACCAGCCUGCGGGUGACAGAGGUGCAGAGAGAUUCGGUGACGCUCACCUGGACCCCAGUCCCUGGUGCCUCCGGCUACGCCCUCUCCUGGAGCCCUCCUGCAGGUGAGACGAGUGGGUGGCCCCGGGACGGCGGGCAGCAUCCCCGCAGGGCCUUGCUGAUCCCUCUGACUGUCCUCUGGGUGGCAGCUGGUGGGGAGAAGGGGCGGACGCUGCCCAGCACUGCCAGCUCCCAGCAGGUCUCUGGGCUGCGCCUGGGCCAGCGCUACACCUUCUCCCUCCGCCCGCUCCUGGGGAGCGCACCGGGUGCCGAGGCGUCCGUCAGUGAGCGCACAGGUACUGUGGGGUCACUGCAGGGCUGGGCUGGGCUCGUCUCCACUCUGGUGGUGGCUUCACUCCUUCCCUGCCUGCAGUCUGCAGGGAUGCCCUCGGUGACGUUGUCUUCCUGGUACACGGCACCCGCGACAGCUCCUCUGGUGCCGAUGCUGUCCGCACCCUCCUCUCCAACACCGUGUCCGCCCUGGGGCGCCUGGGCCCCGAGGGCACACAGGUGGCCCUGGCCACGUACAGCUACCGCAGCCUGCCCUGGCUGCUCCUCAACCGCUCCAGUGACCUGAUGGCCGUGCUGGAACAGAUCCGCACCAUGCGCUACGAGGAGCCCAGCGGCAACGCCAUUGGUGAGGGGCAGCACUAGGAGCUGGGGCAGCGGCUUCUGGGAUCCUGCUGACUGUCCCUUCUUCCUUCUCCCUCUCUAGGGGCAGCCAUCACCUUUGCCAGGACCUACCUGCUGAGUCCUGGAGCAGGGCGCCGCCCCGGGGUGCCAGCAGUGCUGGUGGUUCUGGCUGACGGCCCCUCCGGGGAUGAUGCCAUCACUGCGGCCAGGGAUGUCAAGGCUGGGGGUGAGGAUGAAUGGGGUCUCAUCAGGGUGUGCAGGGAGUUCUGUGGGGUGCUGAGGGUGCUCUCGGCUCAGGGGUCCAGGUGCUGGCAGUGGGCAUGGAGGGGGCAGACCGGGAGCAGCUCCGGCGCAUGGUCACCAGUGAGGACCAGCAGUACGUCUACCAUGGCAGCAGCCUGGCAGAGCUGGAGGGAGAGCUCACCGAUGACCUCUGCACCAUCAUCUCCACCAGGGUAAGGGCCAGAGUACCUCAGGGGGUGUGGAGGGGGAGCAGCCCCAAUAAGCCAGGGGGUUCUCUUAUCCCUGGGUUCACACAGGCUUGUCUUUUCUUGCCAGCCAGAGCCAAAGCCGAAGCCCUGCCCUGUGCAGUGCCCCAAGGUGAGCCUCCCCAUGCUAUGCCAUGACAUGGUGUGCCACAGGUGCUCAGCA